rnacentral:rRNA from 1 species
UACGGGGGGGCAAGCGUUGUUCGGAAUUCCUGGGCGUAAAGGGCGCGUAGGCGGCCCGCUAAGUCGAACGUGAAAUCCCCGGGCUCAACCCGGGAACUGCGUCCGAUACUGGAAGGCUUGAAUCCGGGAGAGGGAUGCGGAAUUCCAGGUGUAGCGGUGAAAUGCGUAGAUAUCUGGAGGAACACCGGUGGCGAAGGCGGCAUCCUGGACCGGCAUUGACGCUGAGGCGCGAAAGCCAGGGGAGCAAACGGG